rnacentral:rRNA from 1 species
UCCAGACUCCUACGGGAGGCAGCAGUCGAGCCUCCCUCACAAUGUUUUCCACCCUGAUUUCGCGACGCCGCGUCCUCGCAUGAAGGCCUUCGCAUUGUAACCACCUGUCAUGUGGGACCAAAUUAAAACCACAGUACCACAAGAGGAAGAGACGGCUAACUCUGUGCCAGCAGCCGCGGUAAUACAGAGGUCUCAAGCGUUGUUCGGAAUCACUGGGCGUAAAGCGUGCGUAGGCUGUUUCGUAAGUCGUGUGUGAAAGGCGCGGGCUCAACCCGCGGACGGCACAUGAUACUGCGAGACUAGAGUAAUGGAGGGGGAACCGGAAUUCUCGGUGUAGCAGUGAAAUGCGUAGAUAUCGAGAGGAACACUCGUGGCGAAGGCGGGUUCCUGGACAUUAACUGACGCUGAGGCGCGAAGGCCAGGGGAGCGAAAGGGAUUAGAUACCCUGGUAU